rnacentral:rRNA from 1 species
GACGAACGCUGGCGGCGUGCUUAACACAUGCAAGUCGAACGGAAAGGCCCUGCUUUUGUGGGGUGCCCGAGUGGCGAACGGGUGAGUAACACGUGAGUAACCUGCCCUUGACUUUGGGAUAACUUCAGGAAACUGGGGCUAAUACCGGAUAGGAGCUCCUGCUGCAUGGUGGGGGUUGGAAAGUCUCGGCGGUUGGGGAUGGACUCGCGGCUUAUCAGCUUGUUGGUGGGGUAGUGGCUUACCAAGGCUUUGACGGGUAGCCGGCCUGAGAGGGUGACCGGAUAUAGUGGUUGUGCGAGGCGGAGCAGAUUGGGAUGGGAGGGAACAGAGGCAGGUGGUGCUGAAUGGGAGGAAGCCAGGUAGAGCGACACGGUGUGCGGGAAGUUGGCCAUCGGGUUGUUGACAGCUUUGGAGUGUAGCAAAGCUGGAGUGACGGUAAUGGGUAGAGGAGCACCGGCUAACUACGUG